rnacentral:rRNA from 1 species
UACGGAGGGUGCAAGCGUUACUCGGAAUUACUGGGCGUAAAGCGCGUGUAGGUGGUCUUAUAAGUCUGGUGUGAAAUCCCGGGGCUCAACUCCGGAAGUGCAUUGGAUACUGUGAGACUGGAGUACAGGAGAGGAUGGCGGAAUUCCAGGUGUAGAGGUGAAAUUCGUAGAUAUCUGGAGGAACAUCGGAGGCGAAGGCGGCCAUCUGGACUGUAACUGACACUGAGACGCGAAAGCGUGGGGAGCAAACAGG